rnacentral:rRNA from 1 species
ACGGAAGGCAGCAGUGGGGAAUAUUGGGCAAUGGGCGCAAGCCUGACCCAGCAACGCCGCGUGAAGGAAGAAGGUUUUCGGAUUGUAAACUUCUGUCCUUGGUGACGAACAAAAUGACGGUACCAUAGGAGGAAGCCCCGGCUAACUACGUGCCAGCAGCCGCGGUAAUACGUAGGGGGCGAGCGUUGUCCGGAAUGAUUGGGCGUAAAGGGCGCGUAGGCGGCCCGGUAAGUCUGGAGUGAAAGUCCUGCUUUCAAGGUGGGAAUUGCUUUGGAUACUGUCGGGCUCGAGUGCAGGAGAGGAAAGCGGAAUUACCGGUGUAGCGGUGAAAUGCGUAGAGAUCGGUAGGAACACCAGUGGCGAAGGCGGCUUUCUGGACUGAAACUGACGCUGAGGCGCGAAAGCGUGGGGAGCAAACAGGAUUAGAUACCCUGGUA